UCGGGGAGAGCGGAAAGGAACGCCACUCUCUCUGAGGCGGGACCCCGCUGGGGAGAUGCCAAGCCGGGGUAUCCGCUGGAAAUCUUCCGUUCGGGGCCAAUACUGCCGAGGAACUGUGCAAGGCUGUGUCGUCGUGGAUGACCGAGACAUGUUACACGUAUUUAUGAUACAUCUCUGAAGCGGCUUCUUUUGUCUCUUAAAGCUUUACCCUGCGUCAUGCAAAGAUAUUCAUUGGCUUAAAAAAAAUAGAAUCUCGGUCUUCCUUCCUUACUGCAUGUUAAGAACCCCAAAGCUGUGCUCAUGGAGAAAGAAAGUAACAACACUGCUCUAGAAAGAAGAAACUCUCAGGUGUAAUCAACUGAAAUAAACUACCAGCAAAACACAGAGAGGAAGAUAACUAAGCCAUCAAUGAAACUGCCCAAGAGAAAAAGGCUCUUGAGUAGUGGAGGAUAACUGAGUUUGUGAGGUUACAGUGCUCUUCUGCAGGAACAGAAGCUCCUUAGGGGCAGAGUUAAGCUGAGGUGGAAACUGCUCCAGCUGCCUUAUUUCUGAGUCAUCCCUGACAGAACAAAGCUCCUUCCCUCCUGCUCUACAAAGAUACCCACUGUUCCUCAUGUCAGGUUGAUGUUUAUUGCAUUAGAAACAUUCCACCGUGUAAGAGGAUCACAGACCAGCUGAGGCAGGAAGGCACCUGUGAAGAUCUUCUGGUCCAAAUAUCUGCUCAAAGACAAGUCUGUGAGAGCAGGUUGCUCAGAACAGCGUCCAUUUGAUUUUGAGUGUCUUCAAGGCUGGAGCAGAGUGGAAGGAUCAGCUCUCUCAAACUGCAGAUAAUGCUCUUCCUAAUGCAGGACAAGAUAAUAUUGGCCUUCUUUCUACAAUGACACAUUGCUGGCUUGUAAUUUAAAUUUUUCAAUUUAAAAUGCUCCCUCUUAUUUCUAAAUCGUUGUAUUGUUUCUGUCCCAGUCUUCCUCAAUAGGUAUAUACAUCUUCCAUUAAUCCCCUAA